rnacentral:rRNA from 1 species
AUUGAACGCUGGCGGUAUGCUUAACACAUGCAAGUCGAACGGCAGCAUGGUCUAGCUUGCUAGACUGAUGGCGAGUGGCGGACGGGUGAGUAACGCGUAGGAAUAUGCCUUGAAGAGUGGGACAACUUGGGGAAACUCAAGCUAAUACCGCAUGUACUCGAGAGAGUAAAGCUGGGGACCUUUAGGCCUGGCGCUUUAAGAUUCGCCUGCGUCCGAUUAGCUAGUUGGUAGGGUAAAGGACUACCAAGGCGACGAUCGGUAGCUGGUCUGAGAGGAUGAUCAGCCACACUGGAACUGAGAGACGGUCCAGACUCCUACGGGAGGCAGCAGUGGGGAAUAUUGGACAAUGGGGGGAACCCUGAUCCAGCAAUGCCGCGUGUGUGAAGAAGGCCUGAGGGUUGUAAAGCACUUUCAGUGGGGAGGAGGUUUGGAAGGUUAAGAGCUAUUCAAAUGGACGUUACCCACAGAAGAAGCACCGGCUAACUCCGUGCCAGCCGCCGCUGUAA